UAAAUCUUUGAUCAAAGUGGCC
rnacentral:miRNA from 1 species